rnacentral:rRNA from 1 species
UACGUAGGGUGCGAGCGUUAAUCGGAAUUACUGGGCGUAAAGCGUGCGCAGGCGGUUUGCUAAGACCGAUGUGAAAUCCCCGGGCUUAACCUGGGAACUGCAUUGGUGACUGGCAGGCUAGAGUAUGGCAGAGGGGGGUAGAAUUCCACGUGUAGCAGUGAAAUGCGUAGAGAUGUGGAGGAACACCGAUGGCGAAGGCAGCCCCCUGGGCUAACACUGACGCUCAUGCACGAAAGCGUGGGGAGCAAACAGG